AUGCUCGCUUCAGCAGUACAUACACUAAAACUGGAAUGACACAGAAAAGAGUAGGAGGACCCUCGAGUGAGAAUAACAUGCAAAUGUGUGAAGCAUUAUAUAUUUUA